UACUUGGAGGCUGAUGCUGGCACUAUC
rnacentral:piRNA from 1 species